rnacentral:pre_miRNA from 1 species
AAAAAGACCAACCAUGGUUCCGUAUCCAACAUUUGACUAUCCGUCUUAUAUAAAACUUUUUUAUAAUUAGUAUUUUUAUUGUUGUUAGAUGAUAAAAACAUGAUUAAUACUUUAUGCAUGACUUGUCUUUUUAAUUUUUUUCAUAUUUUUUUCAAAUAAAACGGACAGUCAAACGUUGGACACGGAAACCCAGGGUUUGUCUUUUU